rnacentral:rRNA from 1 species
UGGGGAAUAUUGCACAAUGGGGGAAACCCUGAUGCAGCGACGCCGCGUGAGCGUAGAAGGCUUUCGAGUCGUAAAGCUCUGUCCUAUGAGAAGAUAAUGACGGUAUCAUAGGAGGAAGCCCUGGCUAAAUACGUGCCAGCAGCCGCGGUAAUACGUAUGGGGCGAGCGUUGUCCGGAAUUAUUGGGCGUAAAGGGUACGUAGGUGGUUUUUUAAGUCAGGUGUCAAAGCGUGGAGCUUAACUCCAUUAAGCACUUGAAACUGAAAGACUUGAGUGAAGGAGAGGAAAGUGGAAUUCCUAGUGUAGCGGUGAAAUGCGUAGAUAUUAGGAGGAAUACCGGUGGCGAUGGCGACUUUCUGGACUUUUACUGACGCUCAGGUACGAAAGCGUGGGGAGCAAACAGG